rnacentral:rRNA from 1 species
UACGUAGGGCGCGAGCGUUGUCCGGAUUUAUUGGGCGUAAAGAGCUCGUAGGCGGCUUGUCGCGUCGGCCGUGAAACCUCACAGCUCAACUGUGAGCCUGCGGUCGAUACGGGCAGGCUAGAGUUCGGUAGGGGAGACUGGAAUUCCUGGUGUAGCGGUGAAAUGCGCAGAUAUCAGGAGGAACACCGGUGGCGAAGGCGGGUCUCUGGGCCGAUACUGACGCUGAGGAGCGAAAGCGUGGGGAGCGAACAGG